rnacentral:rRNA from 1 species
UGUGCCCAGAUGGGAUUAGCUGGUUGGUGAGGUAACGGCUCACCAAGGCGACGAUCCCUAGCUGGUCUGAGAGGAUGACCAGCCACACUGGAACUGAGACACGGUCCAGACUCCUACGGGAGGCAGCAGUGGGGAAUAUUGCACAAUGGGCGCAAGCCUGAUGCAGCCAUGCCGCGUGUAUGAAGAAGGCCUUCGGGUUGUAAAGUACUUUCAGCGGGGAGGAAGGUGUUGUGGUUAAUAACCGCAGCAAUUGACGUUACCCGCAGAAGAAGCACCGGCUAACUCCGUGCCAGCAGCCGCGGUAAUACGGAGGGUGCAAGCGUUAAUCGGAAUUACUGGGCGUAAAGCGCACGCAGGCGGUCUGUCAAGUCGGAUGUGAAAUCCCCGGGCUCAACCUGGGAACUGCAUUCGAAACUGGCAGGCUUGAGUCUUGUAGAGGGGGGUAGAAUUCCAGGUGUAGCGGUGAAAUGCGUAGAGAUCUGGAGGAAUACCGGUGGCGAAGGCGGCCCCCUGGACAAAGACUGACGCUCAGGUGCGAAAGCGUGGGGAGCAAACAGGAUUAGAUACCCUGGUAGUCCACGCCGUAAACGAUGUCUACUUGGAGGUUGUGCCCUUGAGGCGUGGCUUCCGGAGCUAACGCGUUAAGUAGACCGCCUGGGGAGUACGGCCGCAAGGUUAAAACUCAAAUGAAUUGACGGGGGCCCGCACAAGCGGUGGAGCAUGUGGUUUAAUUCGAUGCAACGCGAAGAACCUUACCUGGUCUUGACAUCCACGGAAGUUUUCAGAGAUGAGAAUGUGCCUUCGGGAACCGUGAGACAGGUGCUGCAUGGCUGUCGUCAGCUCGUGUUGUGAAAUGUUGGGUUAAGUCCCGCAACGAGCGCAACCC